GCCCAAGUAGUAUAGUGGUUAGUACUCCACGUUGUGGCCGUGGCGUCACAAGUUCGAUUCCCUUCCUGGGCU
rnacentral:tRNA from 1 species